rnacentral:lncRNA from 1 species
ACAAGACUGACACGAAAUGUAUUUGGUGUAACAAGAACUUAAAUUCUCGUUCUUGGAAUUUCCAUUUUAAAGGUCCAAAACAACCAAAAAGAAACAAUGAGCUAGCUACUCAAAAAGGGGACUCUCUCUCUCUCUCUAUAUAUAUAUAUAUAUAUAUGGUAGCAAGAUGCUAGCCACUAAUUAAUUUAUUCUUGCCAUUCAUGGGUGAGGGGCGGCAGACAGGCAAAGUAUGUGACAACAAGGGGUCGGUUUGUUUGAAUUAUAAAUUAAGUUAUAAGCCAAGCUUUCUGUGGAUAUAUUGCUUUUGAAAAAUGUUGCCAAAUACCACCAAUUAUGGGUAUCACAUGUGCGAAACGGAACGUAUUACAAUUGUUUGCAGCCGUGGUGGGCGGCGCGUUCUGAUUGAAUCACUCCGCAACUUCUUGAUGGUUCGAGAAACGCAGCAGGUGGAAUUAAUGUAAUAUUGCAUAUUUGAUAAAAAAAAAAAACAUUUAUGAUGUGUUUACUUCAUGAAAUAAG